UACGAAGGGGGAGCUGCGUUGCUCGGAAUCACUGGGCGUAAAGCGCACGUAGGCGGAUCUUUAAGUCAGGGGUGGAAAUCCUGGAGCCUCAACUCCAGAACUGCCCUUUGAAUACUGGGGAUCUCGAGUCCGGGGAGAGGUGAGUGGAACUGCGAGUGUAGAGGUGAAAUUCGUAGAUAUUAGGAAGAACACCAGUCGGCGGAAGGCGACUCGCUGGCCCGGUACUGACGCUGAGGCGCGAAAAGCGUGGGGAGC
rnacentral:rRNA from 1 species